rnacentral:misc_RNA from 1 species
GUGAAGGGCAGCAUAUCCCUACCCUCCACCUGCCCGACUGCUACUCUACCUCUGACCUCAUCCCAAUUCGGGGACCAUUGGUCGUGUUUCCCCUGAUGCCUCUGUUCACCUAGCAGUAAAUAGGUACCCAGGCGACUUCACUAACCUCGCAGCUGUUCCUCUCUUCCUCUAGCACUAAAUAGGUGCCCGUGAGUUAGCCAACUGUUGUGGCUGGUCUCCGGUUCCUCACCCUGACAAUGGCAGGCCAGCAGACCGCAGACCAGCACACACAAGAACUGGUGGCGGCAGUUGAAGAUGGCGACCUGCAGCGCGCGCACGCAGCCAUCGUCCGGGGGGCCGACAUCCGGUGGACCCCACGAAGGGACGAGGAAGGCAGGUCACUCUGCCUGUUGACCCGGGCGGCUGAGCUGGGUCACGCCCCCUUGGUGACCCUCCUGUUAUGGAAAGGACUCCCCGUGGACGGGGCUGGUGAGUCCCUACGGUCACCGCUACACUGGGCGGCCCAUAAGGGUCGUGUCGACGUAGUGAAGAUGCUGAUAGAUGAAGAAGCCGACCUGAACAAGCCGGACCUACACGGCAACACCGCCCUACAUGCAGCCGCCCGGGAAGGCCACCUCGCGUGCGUGGACACACUACUCAAUCUCAAAGAUGCCAACGGCGUUCCUCGAUGCCACCCCGACCUUCAAAACAACAUAGGAAGGACGCCAUUUUACUUCGCUGCCGGUGGUAACCACAUAGCUGUGAUGAAGUCACUGGCACGUGCUGGCUGCAACAUUGAAGCAAAAGACAAUGAAAAUAACACAGCGUUGCACUCUGCAGCAUAUUUCGGAAGUCUGGAGGCGGUACAGCGUCUGGUAGUAGGCGACCUUAUCUCUAAUAUCCCCGAGGGACUUAAAACUGACGUCAAGAACAGUGUUGGAAACACACCGGCGGACGAGGCAAGUGCGGAGGGUUGGCAUCAUGUGGAGUGGUGGCUGAAAAAACAGCUUACUCGACCCGACUCUGAUGACUCUGAUGUCCAACAUCCGUUGGACAAAGUUAACCGGUGUGUGAGGCGGUGUAUGGGUGACUAUGACACAAUGCGGGAGAAAAUCGAGGACCGCUCACUUGGCUCAAUUGUUAAAUUUAUUCCGUAUAUAUAUGACGGACACCAGCAGGACGACACCGGCAGGACUUACCUACAUUGUGCUGCUGAGUUAGGGCUGACCGAUGUGGUGGAGGUCCUCCUGAAGAAGUGCGGACUGUACCCACACGUCCUGACCUGGGAAGGUGAGAGUCCUGCUGACCUGGCGGAGCACAAAGGUCACUUACAUCUGCACCACUAUAUCAAAAGGUACCCACACGGUAUGGACUCGGGAGAAGAGUCACCAGAACAGCUGUACGAGAAGCUGUUGGAGCUCAUCAGCAAGCGUGAUGACGUCAAGAAGGCAGUAGAGUUACUGCAGAAGGGGUCGCCGUUGGAACCCUUGGGAGAGUGUAGGGUUUCCGCUCUGUGUUCGGCCAUCACCAGUAACCGGCCCAAGAUCGUCAGCCUCCUGGUGGCUGCAGGAGCGCCGCUAACUACCAUCUCUAGUGGCCUCAACCUUCAGACGAUGGCCUGGCACUCUCCGGACGUCUCUCUUCUGGUGAAGGUCGCCAUCAAAAGGGUGUUCACGCUGGUUCUGAAGCAUGAAUUGAAUAAGCUUCAACAGCUGCCUAAACUUGUCACAGGUGUCAAUGGACUCGUAACCGCCUUAGAAGGCAAGGAACCCAGCAGCGCCAAGUGGCCUCACGCAGGAAAGUCUUCAGUAAAGAGCCUCACGGAGCUGAUGGUACACGCUGCUCGGGCCAAGUGUACCUUAACCUGUAGCUACCUGUACCUGGCUGGCGCUGAGGCCUCCCUCCGCCCUGGGUCAGGUGUGAGUCCCCUGCACACUGCACUGAAGGCUCAGCACUGGAGGCUGGCGGAGCGGAUGGUCCUGGACAUGAACGGCUGUCUCUAUGUUUCUGACUCCACAGGUCACUUACCCGCUACCAUCCUGCCUCCAGAGUCCCGCCAGCCACUUGAGGAGAGUAUUUACAUGAAGGAAAGGAGCCAGCUGCAAGACUUGCAGGAGAAGAUAAAGAGCCAAACUGAGAAGCAACAGCUGCAGGAUGUCGUGGAAGUUCAGGAGCGGCUCUUCGCUACCUACUCGAGCCAGGCAACAGACAACAGGACAGCCAGAACCAGUUCAACAGUGUCGCCCACGGAUAGCUAUGCUCUCCUGGUGGCCUCGCGGAAUGGGCUUCAGCAGCUGGUGUACCUGCUAGUGAAGGUCGGAGGCGUGGACGUCAACGCACCAGUGGAUCCCACCGGUGACACCACUGCGCUCCAUCAGGCAGCUUCUCAUGGCAAGUCUGGCUGCCUCCUCCUGCUCUUCAGUCUUGGCGCCGACCCGCUCCUGCGUGACAGAUAUGAUCAAACUCCUCGUCACUUGGCUGCAAUGUUCGGCCACAAACAUUCUUAUAAACUUUUAACUCAACUUCACAGGAAGAAAAUUCUACGUAACUUCUCGAGUCCUCAAGAAGUUAGAAGAAAACUUCCUACUCCUCAAAAAGUAAGCAAAAAUUUUGAUAAAUAUUAUAAAAGGUACGUUGACUUACCUUCAACAACUCCACAAAAUGAUCAAACGAGAGCUACUAUGCAUCUACUUAAAGAAAUUAAGAUGGAAGAGUUGGAGAAUGAUGUAGAGGCUGCUAAGGUUGACUACACUAAAGGAGAAGCAAAGAUGGUUAAGGAUGCCGUAAUGAAAGAGCUUAAGGAGAUUACAAACGUGAUUUCAGUUGAAUGCCCAAUUUUUGGAGGACAACUCAUCUUACUUGGGAGCAGUGAAGAUGGCACUCGACUCUACUAUCCUGAUGAGUACGACGUCAAUCUUGUUCUUUCAACGAACGCCAGCUUCAGUGUCAGGAAGCAAACAGACGCAGAAGUCCUGGCCAGUGGACACGAGAGUAAGGUGCAGCUGGAGACACAAGACCACAUCCUCCGUGGUAACAACCUGAUAACAAAGUUUUAUGAGCGAGUCUAUCACUGUCUCAAGAACUAUACUUUGGAUAACAAAAAGCUAAGUCUGGUGCCACCUGGGCUGACCAGGACGCAGGUGGGCGUGGCACUGGCACUGGCCUGGCAGGGAGAGGAGUAUCCCCUGUUGCUGGUCAGCGUUGAUUUAGUGCCUGUGCUGGAAGUCCCUUGGCUUGAGGGGAUCAAGAGACCUCUCCUCACACCAGACACAUCACAACUGAUCCACCUCAGCAACACACAAGAUGGAUCCUGGCGAUGCAGCUUCGCCUCAACAGAAGUGUCGCUGCUGAAGGGGUUGGACCCCACGGAGUACCAGGUAUUUAUCACCUGCAAGUUUCUCCUCUCUCGCAUGAAGGCUGAACCCUGGAUGCCUAGAGAUCAGAAGAACCGGUUUUCCUGGUGGGAUUCCCGCUACUGGAAAGUCCCGACUCCUGCAGGAUUCUGCCUCAAGAACGCCUUCUUUCAACACUUGGAGGAGAAGCGAACAAACGCAGCAACGAACGCGAGCACGAACGCGAGUACAGAACACAAGAAGAUAUUGACAGUGAAAUCCGUGUUCAGAAAAAUGUGCUUGGAUAUAAUUUGUCCAAAUUGCAAGAAUGAGAGACUUGUGCCAGGUAAAGUAGGAGCUUACUUCGGAAAGGAAUGCGAGAGGCCCAAAGUGGGCGAAGGAGCUCCGGAAAUUGUCAACUCUCUUGAGACAUAUUUACAAAAACUUUAAGAACGUUAAGCUGGUCUCUUGGGCUCAGACGGCCCCCCGUGGACCAGCAAGUGACAGUCUUGUACUUCAGGGCCCUCAGACGGGCCCCCCGUGGACCAGCAAGUGACAGUCUUGUGCUUCAGGGCCCUCAGACGGGCCCCCCCUGGACCAGCAAGUGACAGUCUUGUGCUUCAGGGCCCUCAGACGGGCCCCCCCUGGACCAGCAAGUGACAGUCUUGUGCUUCAGGGCCCUCAGACGGGCCCCCCCCUGGACCAGCAAGUGACAGUCUUGUGCUUCAGGGCCCUCAGACGGGCCCCCCCUGGACCAGCAAGUGACAGUCUUGUGCUUCAGGGCCC